AUGAUGUCGAGGCGGCAGACAACGCGCCCGGCGGUGGCGGCCGCGGAUGAAGCGGCACUCUUUCUUGUACCAGAUGCAAUGAAGACGGCGGACAAGCAGGACAAGGAGACUGCAUCAACACCGUCAGGCCCAUCGCCAACAUCAUCAACCCAGUGCCGCGGUGGAUGGACGGAGCUCACUAGGAUGACUCCCGUCAUCUUCUUCAUCAAGCUGGAGCCCGAGGACAGAGGGGUGGCGCUCAUUGAGGACGCCGCCGCCUACUUCGUCAAGAUGGAGCCGGAGGACGGAGGGGUGACACUCAUUGAGGGCGCCGCCAGCUGUCGCCUUCAUCAUCAAGCUCAGCGUGCCAGAGGAUGCAGGCGUGGAGGCUCGCGAGGAUGCCGCCGCCAUGCCGCGGUGGAUGGACGGAGCUCACUAGGAUGA
rnacentral:rRNA from 1 species